GUAGGGAAUAUUGGGCAAUGGAGGCAACUCUGACCCAGCCAUGCCGCGUGCAGGAUGACGGCCCUCUGGGUUGUAAACUGCUUUUAUACGGGAAGAAAAAAUACUACGUGUAGUAUACUGACGGUACCGUAAGAAUAAGGAUCGGCUAACUCCGUGCCAGCAGCCGCGGUAAUACGGAGGAUCCAAGCGUUGUCCGGAUUUAUUGGGUUUAAAGGGUGCGUAGGCGGAUCUUUAAGUCAGUGGUGAAAGCAUGCAGCUUAACUGUAGAAUUGACAUUGAAACUGAAGAUCUUGAAUGUGGUUAAAGUAGGCGGAAUGUAUCAUGUAGCGGUGAAAUGCUUAGAUAUGAUACAGAACACCGAUAGCGAAGGCAGCUUGCUGAACCAUUAUUGACGCUGAGGCACGAAAGCGUGGGGAGCGAACAGGAUUAGAUACCCUGGUAGUCC
rnacentral:rRNA from 1 species